UGUUAGGCAUACUUACGACUGGGUU
rnacentral:piRNA from 1 species